rfam:Triticum urartu cultivar G1812 contig79193, whole genome shotgun sequence.
GCCAUCGAAGACGACGAGCUCAUCUCCUACAUCAUCCACGGACUCGACGUCGACUACCAGCCCCUCAUCUCUGCCCUCGAUGCAUGCGUCAUGCCAGUCUCCCUCGACGAGCUCUACGCCAUGCUCAGCAACUUCGAUC